rnacentral:piRNA from 1 species
UACAGUAAUAUCUGUUGAGAGAGCUUUC